rnacentral:lncRNA from 1 species
UAGCUCAAAUCCUAGAUAUCAACCAAUUAAUCGAAACCAAUUACAUAGACUGGCUCACAAACUUAAGAAUUAUUCUAAAUUUUAAAAAAUUAGGCAAUAUUCUCUACCAGAUUAUUCUGAUGUUAACAACCCGUCCAACCCAUAGUCAACGAGCUAUACUCGAUGAAUGGAUGGACAAUGUCAAUAAAGAUAGGUGCUAUAUGUUGAAGUCUAUGUUA